GACGAACGCUGGCGGCGUGCUUAACACAUGCAAGUCGAACGGAAAGGCCUUUUCGGAGGUACUCGAGUGGCGAACGGGUGAGUAACACGUGGGUGAUCUGCCCUGCACUCUGGGAUAAGCCUGGGAAACUGGGUCUAAUACCGGAUAGGACCGCACUUUAGUGUGUGUGGUGGAAAGUUUUUUCGGUGUAGGAUGAGCCCGCGGCCUAUCAGCUUGUUGGUGGGGUAAUGGCCUACCAAGGCGGCGACGGGUAGCCGGACUGAGAGGUUGGUCGGCCACAUUGGGACUGAGAUACGGCCCAGACUCCUACGGGAGGCAGCAGUGGGGAAGAUUGCACAAUGGGCGCAAGCCUGAUGCAGCGACGCCGCGUGGGGGAGGACGGCCUUCGGGUUGGAAACUCCUUUCGCCAGGGACGAAGCGUUUUGUGACGGUACCUGGAGAAGAAGCACCGGCUAACUACGUG
rnacentral:rRNA from 1 species